GACCCCGGAAGCCCUUUGGCGUUUCCACAUUCAGGAAGUGGAAGAGGCGCUAGGAGCACAAGCGCCUGCCCCAGUGCUAUUUGAAGGAUUAUCGUAAAGCAGAACUGGCUGCAAGGACCACUGUGGUGAUGCCCACCGGCCUGGGGAAGAGCUCAGGCCUGCACCGCUGAUCUCCCCCUGCUGCUCUGCGCCCAGGAGGUCAGAGGACGGUCAGCCAGGGUUCAGAGGUCAGGAAGGGCUGGGCCUGGGCUGAGGAACCCAGACAGGGCAGGUCUCUCCUGGGGAAAGGGUGGAAGUUCCCGGAGGAGAAUCCUGGGCCUGGCGCUGGGCAAAAGGCUAGGUUAACGGGAUCAGAUACUUCUCUGGAUUUACAACGGCUUUUCGGGAGAGAGCCAUGGCCGAUGGACCCUGGGUGAGCAGAGCUGGACCCAGCCCUGAAGAGGUUCAGAGGAUGAACUCCUGCUCCAAAAGGACUGUGGGAUCAAAAUCAAGAUCACAGAUCACAGAUGAAGAAGGGAGGAGACCGGAUUUCCUAGAAAUACACCAGCCUUUGGGUGAGAGUUUUCAGCUGUAAUUUCAGGCAAUUUCUAUCAACAGUCAGAGGGGUGAAUCCAGGGUCAACUGGGAUGACUCCCCCUGAGAGACCAGAUUAUGGAACU